rnacentral:rRNA from 1 species
CCUACGGGUGGCAGCAGUGGGGAAUAUUGGACAAUGGGCGAAAGCCUGAUCCAGCCAUGCCGCGUGUGUGAAGAAGGCCUUCGGGUUGUAAAGCACUUUCAGUGGGGAAGAAAGCCUUGGGGCUAAUACCCUCGAGGAAGGACAUCACCCACAGAAGAAGCACCGGCUAACUCCGUGCCAGCAGCCGCGGUAAUACGGAGGGUGCGAGCGUUAAUCGGAAUUACUGGGCGUAAAGCGCGCGUAGGCGGUCUGAUAAGCCGGUUGUGAAAGCCCCGGGCUCAACCUGGGAACGGCAUCCGGAACUGUCAGGCUAGAGUGCAGGAGAGGAAGGUAGAAUUCCCGGUGUAGCAGUGAAAUGCGUAGAGAUCGGGAGGAAUACCAGUGGCGAAGGUGGCCUUCUGGACUGACACUGACGCUGAGGUGCGAAAGCGUGGGUAGCAAACAGGAUUAGAUACCCCUGUAGUC